rnacentral:sRNA from 1 species
AUGUCAUCCCGUGAGGUGACGAAGACGCAGAAAUAUAUGAAAUUCUUUAAGAAUGAGAUAAUCCUCUUUUUAAAGAAGUCUACUCUGAGAGCCUAUUGCUGUA